UUUUCAUUAAUCAAGGACGAAAGUUAGAGGUUCGAAGGCGAUCAGAUACCGCCCUAGUUCUAACCGUAAACGAUGCCGACUGGUUUUGGCCGAUGUUACUUUAUGACUCGGCAGGCGGCCCCCGGGAAACCAAAGUGUUCAGGUUCCGGGGGAAGUAUGGUUGCAAAGCUUAAACUUAAAGGAAUUGACGGAAGGGCACCACCAGGAGUGGAGCCUGCGGCUUAAUUUGACUCAACACGGGAAAUCUCACCCGGCCAGGACACAAUAAGGAUUGACAGAUUGAUAGCUCUUUCUCGAUUUUGUGGGUGGUGGUGCAUGGCCGUUCUUAGUUGGUGGAGCGAUUUGUCUGGUUAAUUCCGAUAACGAACGAGACUCUAGCCUACUAAAUAGACAGAGUAUUCAGACGUACUUUGUUCUUCUUAGAGGGACACGUAGCUUCUAGUUGCACGAGAUUGAGCGAUAACAGGUCUGUGAUGCCCUUAGAUGUCCGGGGCUGCACGCGCGCUACAAUGAAGGUAGCAGAAUGCGUCAAAACCGUGUCCGAGAGGACUCGGCAAUCACCAAUCACUUUUGUGCUUGGGAUAGGGAAUUGAAAUUAUUUCCCUUGAACGAGGAAUUUCUAGUAAGUGCGAGUCAUAAGCUCGCGCUGAUUACGUCCCUGCCCUUUGUACACACCGCCCGUCGCUACUACCGAUUGAAGGUUUCAAUGAAACACAUGGAUCGGGCUCGAGCCGAUGUAACAGUUGGUUUGGUGCCUGAGAAGUGCGUUGAAUUGUCACCUUUAGAGGAAGUAAAAGUCGUAACAAGGUUUC
rnacentral:rRNA from 1 species